CCUUUCCUAGACUUACAGCGCGCGAAAUUGCGCUCAAGCAGGAAAUCAGCGUGUGCGGGGUUCGUGUUGUGUACACCGAAUCCGAACCGAAGUUGAGAAAAGUAUAUACGGGCUCUGCCAACGUAGCCCCUUAUCCGGAAUCCAUGCAGAUUUCUACUGAAGUUCACUCUGCGAGAAUCGCGCGCAACGUCAGCAACUUACUCAGAACC